CACACACACCUGGCAUGAGUUUUAAGCCACCGGGUCUGAGACUCGAACCACAGUCGACUAUGUAGUCCAGUUAUGUAGCCAUUACACCACCUGCUGGUCCCAUUGAUGGUCAUUUUCUUCAUGUGACCAGAGGGUGAUAUUGACCAAAGAUCUUUGAAUUGCCGCCCAGAGUCUGAUACUGCUUUUUCAAUUGGUCUUUCAUGUUUUAUUGACUAAAGCGUCUUAGAGGUUGCAUCACUCAGCUGUUUUGCCAGGAAAGACGAGAAAAAGUGAAAUUUAGCAUGUGUAUGUCCCAGAAGAUCUUUCAGUCGUAAAAAUGGAACAUUCUUAGAGACACUGUUAAAACCUACAGCGGUCACAACAGCUACCCUCCUGCUGUUGAAUGAAAGCUGUAGAUGAGGGGAACUUUGGCGACUCAAAAGUGGGGCAUAGAGAUUCAGAAGGCACGGCGAAGGGUCAACCUGUCUGCCGCCACCGGGGACUUCCCCGAGGAUCACUACUCUACUACCGAGCAGGAACAAAAGCUGCCAAGCACAAGUUUAUGGGACAACCCCAGAGGAAGCAGCAGCUGACAGACGGGUAACUGGUUUCGGGAAGGGAGGAGAGGAUGUCGGAGGCGCCUGCCGCAGCAGACCAGUCACGUCCAUCUGCAGAGAAAACGUUAACGUUGUGGAUGCCCUCAUCGAAGAGGCCUGACCACGCACUGGCAGCAGCCAGCACCACGGGCCUCCCGGGUGGCCCAGUGCACGACUUCGACCGACCAACUCCAGUCAAGGGAAUGUUCUGCUCACAGGUGUCAAGACUGUUGCACCCAUAGCUGCUACAGACGAGAGCAGACCUGUCCAUGGAAAUAAAACAGGCGGGCGAAGGGCCCAGUGCCUUUCGGGAGAAUUGUCCCAGGAGUGGGUGCGUGGCCUUGCCAGCACGGUCCCGAAGGCAGAGCCACGAGGGAGAAGCGGUCCAGCCGGAGGCAGAGCACUCUGGUCAAGAGCAGAGGUCAUGGCUGAGGUGCUUUGCUUGAGGGCUUCUGGAAGGCCAAAGAAUGGUGCCAUGUGGUUAUUAUGAGAGUGUUUUGAGAAAGUUAGCCAGACUUGAGCAGACAAACACUCAGAAAAAUGCCACCAGAGAGUCUGUCUCUACCUCAAGGGUGCCCCUGCUCCUUCCUCUCAUCAGACAGGGGCACUUUGUGAGAGUCUCGGGGAGGGAGCAUUAGGGGUCCACCUUACUGUCCUGGAUCUGCUCCUUCUGACCUUCUUAAAGUCUUUAAAGGGCAUUUUUCUUCACUAAAUAAUAUAGAAAAGACUCCAUUGACGUUGUGAACUCCCCCGGGUGCUCUGUUCUUUACGGACGAACUAAGUGGCUGAUGGGAAUCGCACAGAUGUCUUGAACUUGACGGAGAUACUGUUGAGAAAUAAAGUUUAUAUUUGUA